rnacentral:rRNA from 1 species
GACGAACGCUGGCGACGUGCUUAACACAUGCAAGUCGAACGGUAAGGCCCUUCGGGGUACACGAGUGGCGAACGGGUGAGUAACACGUGGGUGAUCUGCCCUGCACUUCGGGAUAAGCCUGGGAAACUGGGUCUAAUACCGGAUAGGACCACUGCCUGCAUGGGUGGUGGUGGAAAGCUUUUGCGGUGUGGGAUGGGCCCGCGGCCUAUCAGCUUGUUGGUGGGGUGAUGGCCUACCAAGGCGACGACGGGUAGCCGGCCUGGGAGGGUGACCGGCCACACUGGGACUGAGAUACGGCCCAGACUCCUACGGGAGGCAGCAGUGGGGAAUAUUGCACAAUGGGCGCAAGCCUGAUGCAGCGACGCCGCGUGAGGGAUGACGGCCUUCGGGUUGUAAACCUCUUUCAGCACCGACGAAGCGCAAGUGACGGUAGGUGCAGAAGAAGGACCGGCCAACUACGUGCCAGCAGCCGCCGUAAUAC